GACAGAGGGUGCGAGCGUUGUUCGGAAUUAUUGGGCGUAAAGCGCGCGUAGGCGGCUGGGUAAGUCGAAUGUGAAAGCCCGUGGCUUAACCAUGGAAGUGCAUUCGAAACUACCCGGCUCGAGUGUCGGAGAGGGUGGUGGAAUUCCCAGUGUAGAGGUGAAAUUCGUAGAUAUUGGGAGGAACACCAGUGGCGAAGGCGACCGCCUGGACGACAACUGACGCUGAGGCGCGAGAGCGUGGGGAGCAAACAGG
rnacentral:rRNA from 1 species